UCGAGCGGUAGCACAGGUGAGCUUGCUCCCCGGGUGACGAGCGGCGGACGGGUGAGUAAUGUCUGGGAAACUGCCUGAUGGAGGGGGAUAACUACUGGAAACGGUAGCUAAUACCGCAUAACGUCGCAAGACCAAAGAGGGGGACCUUCGGGCCUCUUGCCAUCAGAUGUGCCCAGAUGGGAUUAGCUAGUAGGUGGGGUAAUGGCUCACCUAGGCGACGAUCCCUAGCUGGUCUGAGAGGAUGACCAGCCACACUGGAACUGAGACACGGUCCAGACUCCUACGGGAGGCAGCAGUGGGGAAUAUUGCACAAUGGGCGCAAGCCUGAUGCAGCCAUGCCGCGUGUAUGAAGAAGGCCUUCGGGUUGUAAAGCACUUUCAGCGAGGAGGAAGGUGGUGAACUUAAUACGUUCAUCAAUUGACGUUACUCGCAGAAGAAGCACCGGCUAACUCCGUGCCAGCAGCCGCGGUAAUACGGAGGGUGCAAGCGUUAAUCGGAAUUACUGGGCGUAAAGCGCACGCAGGCGGUUUGUUAAGUCAGAUGUGAAAUCCCCGGGCUCAACCUGGGAACUGCAUUCGAAACCGGCAGGCUAGAGUCUUGUAGAGGGGGGUAGAAUUCCAGGUGUAGCGGUGAAAUGCGUAGAGAUCUGGAGGAAUACCGGUGGCGAAGGCGGCCUCCUGGACAAAGACUGACGCUCAGGUGCGAAAGCGUGGG
rnacentral:rRNA from 1 species